GGUCGCUUGGCUCAGCGGGAGAGCAUCGCCUUCACACGGCGGGGGUCGCAGGUUCAAAUCCUGCAGCGACCACCA
rnacentral:tRNA from 1 species